rnacentral:rRNA from 1 species
AGGUGCUGCAUGGCUGUCGUCAGCUCGUGUCGUGAGAUGUUGGGUUAAGUCCCGCAACGAGCGCAACCCUUGUCCUUAGUUGCCAUCAUUAAGUUGGGCACUCUAGGGAGACUGCCGGUGUUAAACCGGAGGAAGGUGGGGAUGACGUCAAGUCCUCAUGGCCCUUAUGCCUAGGGCUACACACGUGCUACAAUGGCCGGUACAAAGGGCAGCAAUACCGCAAGGUGGAGCGAAUCCCAAAAAGCCGGUCUCAGUUCGGAUUGGAGUCUGCAACUCGACUCCAUGAAGUUGGAAUCGCUAGUAAUCGCGUAUCAGCAUGACGCGGUGAAUACGUUCCCGGGCCUUGUACACACCGCCCGUCACACCACGGGAGUCUAUUGUACCGGAAACCGGUGGGCUAACCUUCGGGAAGCAGCCGUUUAUGGUAUGGUCGGUAACUGGGGUGAAGUUCAAGCAACAUA